CCCGACCUCCUUUUUUUAAAGAUUUAUUUAUUUAUUUAUUUAUUUAUUUAUUUAUUUAUUUAUCUUAUGUGAGUACACCAUAGCUGUUUUCAAACAGACCAGAAGAGGGCAUCGGUCCCAUUACAGAUGGUUGUGAGCCACCAGGUGGUUGCUGGGAAUUGAACUCAUGACCUCUGUAAGAACAGCCAAUGGUCUUAACUACUGAGCCAUCUCCCCAGCCCUGUCCUUAAAUUUUUUUUAACUUUUAGUUUUACUUGUGUGUGUACAUACUGUGUGUGUGAGAGAGAGAGUGUGUGUGUUUGUGUGAGUGCGUGUGUGUGCAGAGUAUGUAUUUUUAUGUAUUGCAUGAGUGUAAAUCGUAACCUGUGGAGGCCAGAAGAGGGCUUGGGUUCCCUGGAGCUGGAGUUAAAGCUGGAGUGAGCUUCCCAGUAGAGAUGUUAGGUUCCUAGCCCAGGUCUUCUGGAAGACCAACAAGUGUUCUUAAGCCCAGAGCCAUCCCUCCAGACCCAUAUUUUUAAUUUUCUGAGAAAUCUCCACACUGACUUCCAUAGUGGAGUUUUAUAUUCCCAAUCUCAAGGAUUACGAGUUCCUCUUUUCUCAUAUUGUCAUGGCUAUUUGUUGUUAUUUGUUUCAUUCAAAAUUUUUAUUAUUUUUUUUCUUUGUGGGUGCUUUGCCUGUGUGCAUAUCUUUGUACCAUAUACAUGCAGUGCCUGUGGAGGCCAGAAGAGGGCACAGUUCCCCUGGAACCAGAGUUAAGGUUAUGAGCAGCCAUGUGUGUUCUGGGAAUCAAAUCCAGGUCCUCUGGAAAAGCAGCCACCAUUGAUUGUCUCUCCAGCUUGUAAUUUGUUUUCUGAUCAUAACCAUUCUGAGUAGGGUGAGACGUAACUUUAAAACCAGGCUAAUACUUAUUACUUUAUUUAUUGGCCACUUAUAAUGGCCAAUGUUCAACACUUUUCCAAUAAAUUCUGGGCUAUUCAUAGGUCUUUUGCUAAUGUCCAUUCAAUGCAUAGCCCAUCUGUUCAUUAGAUGCUUUUAUUUGUGUGUGUGUGUGUGUGUGUGUGUGUGUGUGUGUGUGUGUGUGCAGGCGCACACACGCGCGCUGGGCAUGUUUAUGCUGUGUGUGUGUGUAUUUUAAGUUCUUUCCUAUCUAAAUACUAAGUUCCCAUCUGACAUAUAAUUCACAAUUUUUUCUCCAUUCUAUAGACUGUCUCUCACAAUAACCCCAAGAAGGAGAGACCACCCGUAUCUCUCUUAAAGCACUGUCCCUUUAUGCUUAUAUUAGCCAAACUUUUGUCACUGUAACAAAAUACCCAAUAUGGACAUUUUACUUAUAAAGAGGAAAGGUUUGUCUUGGCUCGUGGUUUCAGGGGUUCAUUCAGUCCAUGGUUGCUUGACUCUGUUGCUUUGGGCCAAGUCACUGUGACCUCAUGGGAACACCAUGGGUCAAGUAUCUGUGACAGCCAGGAAGGAGAGAAAGGGGGGAGGGAGGGAAAAAGAGGGAAGGGGAGGGAAAGAGACAAGUGUGCCAGACUCCGAAAUCUCCUUCCAGGAAAUGUCUCCAGUGAGCUGACUUCCUUCCUGUGGAUCCCAUUUUCUAAAGCUUCUACCAUAUCACAUCUGGCCACAGGUCUUCCCUGCCACCACACCAGGUAAAAAGGACCCUGCAGAAAAAUCUAGGCGUGAACACCACCACCAGAGAGACUGAGCCGGGACUGCGCCUUUAAUUCAGAUUCAAACACCUAUCAGGAGAAAUAGAAACCCUGAAUGUCAAUUGUCUUUUUAAAG